ensembl:lncRNA BDNF-AS BDNF antisense RNA
CUAGUAUCGCGAGAUCAGGAAGGUGGCCGAGUGUGUCGCCGCGGCCAUCAGGCACUUCUCCUUCCUGCCCUUGUAUGAAGAAGGAUGUGUUUGCUUCCCCUUGUGCCAUGAUUGUAAAUUUCCUGAGGCCUCCUCAGCCCUGCAGAACUGGGGUUAUAGCCAUGUGACUGAUCUUCGUCCAAGAAUAUGUAAAGAAAAAGUGUUGAGUUGGCUUUUAGGGCUAGAGCAAUGUAUCUUAGGCUCACUUAAGGAAGCUGUAGAGAUGAGCCCAAGGAGGGAAACCAGAAGAGCCCCCCAGGCUCACCAGUUGUUUGUUGGCUCCCUACAAACAUGUCAUUCAAGUGGCUAAUCUUACAACAGCACAAAUUCAUCUAACCAGAAAGAGAAGAGGAGGCUCCAAAGGCACUUGACUACUGAGCAUCACCCUGGACGUGUACAAGUCUGCGUCCUUAUUGUUUUCUUCAUUGGGCCGAACUUUCUGGUCCUCAUCCAACAGCUCUUCUAUCACGUGUUCGAAAGUGUCAGCCAAUGAUGUCAAGCCUCUUGAACCUGCCUUGGGCCCAUUCACGCUCUCCAGAGUCCCAUGGGUCCGCACACCUGGGUAGGCCAAGCCACCUUGUCCUCGGAUGUUUGCUUCUUUCAUGGGGGCAGCCUUCAUGCAACCAAAGUAUGAAAUAACCAUAGUAAGGAAAAGGAUGGUCAUCACUCUUCUCACCUGGUGGAACUGUAGGGAGAAAGCAGAAACAAGACAGAAAACUGAGAUACUCUAUUAUAGCAAAGAAGAAAGAUAAUUUCAUUGAGCCAUCCUGUUUUACAGGAUUUUCCCUCCUGGUGAGUCAAAAUGAACAAGAAAUACCCCAGGACCUCCCUUCCCUCCUUGGCCAUUAAUGAGAUGAAGGCAAUUAACUCACAUAGUAUAAAUGAAUCAUUUGAGGUGAUGACUGCAUUUUAGGCAAAUGAUGACUUUCUUGGUUCCAUUGGUUUGCAAGUAAAAGUUACACACAUUGAAAAGACACUGAAACAGAUUUCCUAAAUGCUUCAUUUUCUGGAUGCACCAAUGUUGACCUACUAUACAUGUUAAAUGGUUUUAAAAUAUCACCUUAAAAUAAAGGAAACUUCCAGCUACUAACUCAGCUCUGAAUGGGCUAUGAAAGGCUCCAAAGGUAUGUGAAAAAUUACUGUUAUUUUGCUUUAAAAAAUGUGAUGUCUAAGAGUGUCUGCAAUGUUCUAAUGCUUCAAAACAUGUACGUAAGCCUUGUUUAUCUGGAAAUCAUUUCUUUCUGCUUAUAUCAUUUAUAAAUAGAAAAUGUUCUGUAAUAACUUAAAAUAGUUCCACAUACAUAAUGCUUUUAGUGUCAUAAUACUUACUACUGGUCUAUAUUUACCAACAUUUAUCACAUUUUACAAAAUGAAGUAGAAGAAAAAAAAGACAACGACUUUAUGGCCCUGGAAUUCCAGUAAUGGUGACCAACAUGUUUUAAAUUCCAGUAAAGGUUAUGGUUACAUUUCAACAAGUGUCUCUUUCCUUUUUUUUACCUCUCCUGCUAACCCAGAGGUAAAUUUCCCAAAAA